GGGUAUCACUUUCACUGUGGCCAGACUGAAUGAAUUUGCUCUCUUUGUAACCUGCAGAUGGGUUCCCUGGGCCCAGUUUGUCGUGCACCCCAUGGACAGCUGUACUGAUGAUGCAGAGAUGGAAAGGCCAUAUGCAAUUUCGUGCUUUCUUGGGUCAGUUUGAAUCAGGGCUCCCCAACUCUUCUUUCUCCCUGCGCCUCUCUGUGCCCCAUCUCAUGCUGGUGCCUGAAAUAAGCUGGCCAAGAACUAACCUGGCCAGCAAACAAUCACUUCUUGGAGGGAGUAGCUCUGUGAAUUGGUUCAUUUUCUAGUGUGUCGGAGCUGGCACGUGCAGGUCUGUAUGUGAAGCCACUUGUGGGCUUAAAUGCAAGCAGAAUUGCAUCCUGUGUGAUGAGAAUGAGGAGCAGCUAAAGCUGCAUUUGCUGUGGAGAAGGUCAUUGACAAAACUGUGCCAUUAAGCUCUGUAAACUUGCUUAUUGUGUCCGAACCUUAAUCGACUCUUCCUUACAUAUGUAUCUGAAUAAUAUAAGCAAAUCAAAGCUUAGCAGCACACCUCGACCGUACCUAGAACUGAUGAACCAUUUGCUACCUGCCUGCUCUUUCCCUUUCUCCUCUGCGUAAAUGCUUGGCUGUGUACAAAUUGUAUUGCUUACGUGGAAAGGAAAAUCUCGGAACCAUCCUCAAACUCUGAGGGAGAAAGGAGUUUUUGUGGGAUGUAUCUGAGCUGUGAUAGCCCAGGCUGACAAGAGUGAUGUUGUAGAAGAAUGGGAAAGAGCAGCGAGAAAUUGUUUCAAGCUGCUGCUCCCAGAUGUCCUGGACUUUUACUGUGAAUCUGUGUGGUGGAGUAUGGAACAUUAAAACCCUUGUCCUGCUCAACCCAGGAGUGCCUGCUUGGAUCACAGACACGGCGGUCCCUGUAGAAUGCAGAUAUGUAAUAGCAUGCAGACUUUGUUCUUGGACCCUUAAGUUUCACAGCAAGCUGGAACGGGUUCCAAGGCUGAAAAUGACUGGAGAUGUGCUGAGACAAAAAACACGUGAAGUAAUGAUGCUCUUGUUCUUGAACACCUUCAGUGACAGCUUCUAAUGGCCUGAUCUGACAAUUUAUUACAUUAACUAAUUGAUUUGUUGCUAUUCUAAUCCUGUUUUAACAUCGAAUCCCUUUUGGCAUUGCAGCCAUUGCUCCCUGUAAGUCGUUAUGUCACUCUUGGCUCCAUAAAAGAAUAUUCUUGGC
ensembl:lncRNA